GCACAAGCGGUGAGCAUGUGGUUUAAUUCGAUGCAACGCGAAGAACCUUACCUGGGCUUGACAUCCCGGGAAUCCCUUGGAAACAAGGGAGUGCCCUUCGGGGAACCUGGAGACAGGUGCUGCAUGGCUGUCGUCAGCUCGUGUCGUGAGAUGUAGGGUUAAGUCCCGCAACGAGCGCAACCCUUGUCUUUAAUUGCCAUCAUUGAGUUGGGCACUUUAAAGAGACUGCCGGUGUUAAACCGGAGGAAGGUGGGGAUGACGUCAAGUCCUCAUGGCCCUUAUAGGUGGGGCUACACACGUCAUACAAUGGCCGGUACAGAGGGUUGCCAACCCGCGAGGGGGAGCUAAUCCCACAAAGCCGAUCGUAGUCCGGAUCGCAGUCUGCAACUCGGCUGCGUGAAGUCGGAAUCGCUAGUAAUCGUGGAUCAGCAUGUCACGGUGAAUACGUUCCCGGGUCUU
rnacentral:rRNA from 1 species